CCUAACACAUGCAAGUCGAACGGUAGCAGGAAGAAGCUUGCUUCUUUGCUGACGAGUGGCGGACGGGUGAGUAAUGUCUGGGAAACUGCCUGAUGGAGGGGGAUAACUACUGGAAACGGUAGCUAAUACCGCAUAACGUCGCAAAACCAAAGAGGGGGACCUUCGGGCCUCUUGCCAUCGGAUGUGCCCAGAUGGGAUUAGCUAGUAGGUGGGGUAACGGCUCACCUAGGCGACGAUCCCUAGCUGGUCUGAGAGGAUGACCAGCCACACUGGAACUGAGACACGGUCCAGACUCCUACGGGAGGCAGCAGUGG
rnacentral:rRNA from 1 species